rnacentral:rRNA from 1 species
CCUACGGAAGGCUGCAGUGAGGAAUAUUGGUCAAUGGACGAGAGUCUGAACCAGCCAAGUAGCGUGAAGGAUGACUGCCCUCUGGGUUGUAAACUUCUUUUAUAUGGGAAUAAAACAGGGUAUGCAUACCCUCUUGUAUGUACCAUAUGAAUAAGGAUCGGCUAACUCCGUGCCAGCAGCCGCGGUAAUACGGAGGAUCCGGGCGUUAUCCGGAUUUAUUGGGUUUAAAGGGAGCGUAGGUGGAUUGUUAAGUAAGUGGUGAAAGUUUGCGGCUCAACCGUAAAAUUGCAGUUGAAACUGGCAGUCUUGAGUACAGUAGAGGUGGGCGGAAUUCGUGGUGUAGCGGUGAAAGGCUUAGAUAUCACGAAGAACUCCGAUUGCGAAGGCAGCUCACUGGACUGCAACUGACACUGAUGCUCGAAAGUGUGGGUAUCAAACAGGAUUAGAUACCCGAGUAGUC